AUUGAACGCUGGCGACAUGCCUUACACAUGCAAGUCGAACGGCAGCACGGGUGCUUGCACCUGGUGGCGAGUGGCGAACGGGUGAGUAAUACAUCGGAACGUACCUUAUCGUGGGGGAUAACGCAGCGAAAGCUGUGCUAAUACCGCAUACGCCCUGAGGGGCAAAGCGGGGGAUCGCAAGACCUCGCGCGAUUAGAGCGGCCGAUGCCUGAUUAGCUUGUUGGUGGGGUAAAAGCCCACCAAGGCGACGAUCAGUAGCUGGUCUGAGAGGACGAUCAGCCACACUGGGACUGAGACACGGCCCAGACUCCUACGGGAGGCAGCAGUGGGGAAUUUUGGACAAUGGGGGCAACCCUGAUCCAGCAAUGCCGCGUGAGUGAAGAAGGCCUUCGGGUUGUAAAGCUCUUUUGUCAGGGAAGAAACACCGGCUCUAACACAGUCCGGGAAUGACGGUACCUGAAGAAUAAGCACCGGCUAACUACGUGCCAGCAGCCGCGGUAA
rnacentral:rRNA from 1 species